GACCUCUGGAAGGAAGAGCAGUCCGGUGCUCUUAACAGCUGAGCCAUCGCUCAAGCCCCCAACUAGCAUCUUCUAAAAGACCCCAGGGACCAACAGCCCAGGAAUGAUGACCAGGACCAGGACCCGCUCCCAUCAACCACUAAUUAAGAUGAUGCCCUACAGGCUUGCCUACAGCAUUUUCCUAACCGAAGUUUCCGUCUCACAGAUGACUUUAGCUUGUUUCAAGAUGAUAUAAAACUAUAAAGCAUGCCGACAAACAAGACAAUUCUGAAGAACUCUCUGGGAAAAGCAGCUGAGGACCGAACCCAGGGCCUUGCACUUGCUAGGCAAGCGCUCUACCACUGAGCUAAAUCCCCAAUCCGUGAGUCCGUUUUAUACAGGCUGCCAGAACCUUCUGAGAGUCUUCACCUGGAUCCCUGAGACACACGAUGCCACAGACCAAAGAACCAGGCACACGAGCUGAGCCGCCGAGACACUCCACAGAGAAUUUGGAGUUGCGAGAAGGAGCACCACACACUGUAAGGUUUUGCUUCCAGGUCUGCUGAGUGCCUGACAGAGGAAGGCUGUCCGUCCUUAGGCCUACUGCAAAGUAGGUGUUGAGGUAUUUGGGAGACAGCUACCCAGAAGGAGAAUCUUAUCACUGGAAAUGGCCUGCUCAUUUUAAGGCUAAAAUCAAGCAUGCUCUGUCCUCCAAUUCCACUGGAGCUAUACUGGGGCUUUCAAUGGUUUGGGGUUUUGUUCGGUUAACUGGUUUGUGUGUUUAGUAUAUUUGGUUGGUUUGGUUUUUGAAACAGCGCCUCAGUCUGUAGCUCUGGCUGACCUGGAACUCACAAAGAUCUGCUUGCCUUCAUUCUCCCAGUGCUGGACUGAAGCUGUGCACCACCACAUCUGGACUUCGAUGGAGAGUCUUGUAGCUUUGGAAACAGUUCGGUCUCUGAACCGUAAUUACCCGUAAGCAACGGCAAGAAUGCACAGACAUCAAAUGCUUGCCUUGAAACCUGGAGGACGGGUAGAUGUGGCUGUCUUGGGGCUACAGAGAUGACUCAAAGGGUAAGAGCACUGGCUGCUCUUUGCAGAGAACCCGGGUUUGGUUCCCAGCACCCACGUUCCAGCUCACCACCCUCUGUGGCUCCGGCUCUUGAGGAUUUAACACGAUCUUCUGGCCUCAGCAAGCACUAGACAGCCAUGUGGAGCGCAUACGUGCAUGCAGUCAGAUAUCAUACACAGGAAAUAACAAAUCUAAGAACUUUAAUGCAGAUAUCUUUAAUAGACUUUAUAUCUUCUUGAUCGUUUAAGGUAACAUUUUGAAUAUGUAGAUUUUAUUUUUUGAAACUUGUUUUUACUAAUGUCUUUGCUAUAGAGAAUAAAAAAACCCUCCCAUCUUUAUUAAA
rnacentral:sRNA from 1 species